AGAAAAAUGAUUUGGGCUGAAAUUCAUUUGUCUUAACUCCCAACCCCAAAUCCCUUUUUACCUCCCCAGCCCAAAUACCUACCAGUCCAGCCCCAAAAAAUGACACCUGACCCACUUAUUUGACCCGCCCGUCUCCCUUUACUGUAUAAGAUCCUUAUAUUGUUUCCCCCCAAUUCAAACCCUAAACCUAGAAACCACAAGAACGAUGCCUACCCGUACCAUUCAUCAUCUUCUUCACUGAGCCAACCUCAACUCGCCUGAAACUCAGGCGAGUUCACUCAAAUGGGCCCCUCCUCUCCAUGUCACUUUAUUCCAAUGGAUUUCUGUCAGAGAAGAAAGAACAUUCCUCCCAAAUUUGCACGAUUUAUGUACUAUGGAGCGAUUUGCUAGAUGAAUGCGAGCCGUGGAUGGAUGUAAAUAGAUCCAUGCCUUCAAUUUGUCCCUAAAAUCGUUCAAAAACGAGGGGAUUUUUCAGAUUUUGGGCAGAAGCUUCGGAAUUUUUGAGGGUUAUAUACAAGGUGAGUUUUCUUGUUUAAGGGGUAGAAAAAAAAAUCAGAGAAAGAUCUAAGAAUUUUUUUUCGAAAUCUGAGGAGAGUAAAAUUUUCUAAGGUUCUUGAAGUUGUCACUUUCUUCAGGCCGUUUCUUUUCAGUUUGCUUCUCUUUAGAAAAAUACAAAAAAGUACAAAUGGUCCGAGUUCAUUUUCAUUCGAGUUUACUUCAUUUCAAGAGAAAAUUUCAAAAAAAAAAAAGAAUCACUAAAACAGAUUUUUUAGCAUUUAUUCUUUCUCUUGAUUUCUGGUUCUCAAAAGGAAGCUUGAUUUAAAGUUUAAGUUAGAGUUGAGUUUGGGGUUCGAAAUUUUAGCGUUGAUUUGGUUCAAGUUGGUCGAUUCCUAUUGUCUUGUUGCUGUUCGUUUCAAGGUUUGAGUCGCGGCUUUGUUCGAGUCAGUUUAAAUUGUUGUAAUCACUGAAGUUUCGUUAAUUGAAAGCCCUAAUUUCAGGUUCAUCUCUUCACUCUUUCUUAAUUUGUUCUGGUAUUGAUCAAAAUGUGAUGAUGCUUGAGACUUUGUUAGAUUAGUAGUGUUUAUGAGUUGGUUCAUGAGAAAUCAGCCUGUGAUACAAUUUUUCUUAACUUCUGUCUUCUUCUUUUUCUUUCUGUUGGUUAAUCCCUUAAAAGGGUCAGCACAAAAUUGUAUAGUAAUGACUUGUUUGUCGGUGUUGAAGCGUGAGGGCAACCAUCCGAAAAUGGUUUAAACAAAUUUAGAAACUCGGGUUGGUGUUUUAAUAUUUUUACAGAGUUGAAGAGUUUGAAUUCAAUUCAAUCAAAUGUGCCUUAAUGCCAAACAAAUUCGUGUAUAGUCCAUGUGUACAACACUGUAUAGCAGCUGCUCUAAGUUUGAUUUUGGACAUUCUUGAACCCUUUGUAUUAUGCUUUGUUGAAUGAUUAAGAAUUGAUUGAAUUUCCUCCUAACUAUUUCAUGUUGACCAAAGUUAGAACUUCUGUUGCUUUAAUGGGUUAUGAAUGUGUAUUUAGAUUUUAAUUUGGAUAAAAUAGUGAAAUAACUUAUGAUGAUAUGCAAUGAACUACCUUGAUAUUUGUUUCCAGUUAAGGAUUGGGUUUAACCUUAGUUAAUCAGCCUUAAUUUUGUUUGUUUUCAUCUUGUUUUCCGUAAAGCCAAGUUGUUUUCUUUGAUGAAUCAAGUGAUUAAGUCCGAUAUGACACGUUAAUUGGAUCAUGAAUUUUAGAUUGUUAAAGUCAGUCUAUCCUAUAUCAUUGUUUUGAGUUGCUCAUAUGGUUUGGUAGGCAGAAGCGUUUUGUUUUUCUAAAUAUGGUUUUGGGAUCACGGAUGAGACCAUUAUAAUUGUUUGAUUUAAUGUACAUUGGGCUUGGAAAGCAUGUAAAGCUCCCGUAUGGAGGCCUUUAUCUGUUUUGAUUUUCUGUACAAACUCUAGUUUUGGGCCUUCUUAAAGUGGGAUAGAUAAGCCCAGAUGUGGGCAAACAAGACCAAACUGGUUUUUUCCUUCUCCUUUUCUUUUCUUUUCCAAACUAAAUCGCUGCAUGAAUCAAAGCUUAGCCCGUUAGACGUGAAUUUAGUUUGCAUUUAGUUUAGUCUUUAUUAAUGAAUCAGUUUUAAUCCCAAUAUUAUAAUUCCUGACCUUGCAAUAAUCUUAAACUUAGAGAGGAAUAAUCAUGAAACAAUCGUAGUUUGCUUUUACGCACGCGAUUAAACUAUUUCAACUACGGGUACAACUCUCGUGACGUGGUUGUGAUGCCUAAUUUUAAAUUAGAUUUAAGUAGGAGCAUCUUUAGUUUGCCUUAGUGAAAUAUAAAUCUUUUCUUUUAAAAUAAAUUGAGGUGUGCCAUCCAAUCACCUAGUCUAUGACCCUCAAAUAGAUAUCUUAACUAAUGUAGAAAAUGCCUUGAACUCUCAUAGUUUACUUUAGGCGUGUUUAAUUAAAUAAAUUAUCAUAGCUACAAGUAUGGUUCCCGUGGCAUAGCUAUGAUACCUAAUUUCCAAAUUCGGGGUUACAUUUAUGUGACCCGGCCACAACUUUCAAUAACUUUAAUAAAUUAAACAUGUUGUAGAUCGUGGGUAUAGUUCCCGUGACAUGAUUCACAAUGUGUAUCAAACAAACAAGUGCAUGACAAUCAUGACUUGUUCCAGAAUAAUUCCAUAAAAUAAUUUAAAAGCGGUUAUAAAGUUAAAAAUGCACAAUAGGUUUAAAACAUGUAGUAAAUCAGAUAAUAAGCGAAUUAUUAAUAGUUUAAGAGACCGUGCUAGAACCACGGAAUCCAGGAAUGCCUAACACCUUCUCGUGGGUUAACAGAAUUCCUUAUCUAGAAUUUCUGGUUCGUAGGCUUAUAAAGUAAGUCGAAAUUUCCUCGAUUUGGGAUUUUAAAAUAAAUCGGUGACUUGGGAUACCAAAUAAACUAUUCCAAGUGGUGAUUCUGAUAAAUUAAUUAAUCCCAUAUUCGAUUUAUGUCACUUUAAUUGAAAAAACUCCCAUAUACCCUCGGGUGGUAAAAAUGAGGCGUGACUCUAGCGACUCUGCUGGGGAUAGUAACCCAUAACUUUUGGUUCAGGGUUCAAGAAUUCGAGCUUAGAAUAACUGUUAUAAUUGGCUUUUAUUUAUUAUCUAAUUUUAUUACAUGUUUGGGCCUAAUUGCUAAAUGUCGAUUUUUACCGCUUUGAUAUUAUUUGAACUGUAUAAACUAUUACGAGACCCUUCUCUUCUCAUCUUCGGGGAUGUUAACGCUGGUGUGACUCCUCUUUCUGUUAGUGUCAUACCUUGAAUAAGAAAGAGGCUCGGACAAGUCACAAAGGCGGAUGACCUUUUGGUUCCCGGUACGUAGCCCCCCCGACUCGAGUUGUCUGCUCGGGUACACCAAGUCUAGAACAAUACACCCAGGUUUUUAAACUUAGAAUAACUCAACCUCAUGCCGGAUCCCUAGUAGGAACGCAUGUUUGCAUCAUGUGCAUUUGACUUUGGGGACUCAACACAGGGGUUGGGGUCCGUCUAGGACAGGUGGAUCCCAGAAUCAAAAGACCAUCCUGACGCAUUCUUACGUGCUAUUUGUACAAUUAUUUGCUUCGAUUUGCAUGUUGACCAGUUGCUAGAGUAGGAAGGAAAUUGGAAAAAAUAAUUGAGGUAUGAGAGAGAUAAUUACCCGCCUUUGAAAAAACCUGUUGUCCAAAGUAUACCGAAACUCUGCCAAAAUUUUGAAAAGAAAGAGAAAAGGAAAAAGGAAAAUUAUUUCAAAAAAAAAGGAAAAAAAAGUAUUUCAUAUUUUUCAUUAUGUCAAAACUGACCGAACUACUCAAGUUUGAUUCUCACCGGAUGUGGGAUACGUAGGCAACCCUCACAGGAUCUAACUCUAUUUUUGCAAAAAUAACCCAAAAAAUGAAAUGUUGUUAUUUUAUAAAUAAAAUUAGGUAAUGUCGUUCUUGUCUAAAUAGCCCAAAAUGUCCCCAAAAGGACAUCAGAAGGCUGUUUUUGCAAGAAUAACCACCUAUUGCCCUUUUUCAAAAUUUUGGCUACCUAGCAAGCACAACCCUAAAAUCUUCUUUUGCAAAGUGCUGAAGGGCCGUAUUUGCAAAAGUAACCGCGUUAUUUAAGUUUUUGCAAAAUUUUCCUCGCUUUGUUUUAAACCAAUCACCUUAAUUUUAAUGUGCAGAAUGAGCACGAGUCAAAACUUGCCAAUGAAGGUCAUGGCCAAGAUUCCUUUGGAAAUGUAUAUGUGGUGGAAAGAUCUAGGUAAAUCAGGACGAGAUGUGGUCAACCAUUACUUGGGGGUUCUCACCGGGUUAUUGAAGAUGAAACCUAGAGGAGACAUAAUAAAAGCCUUGGUUACAUUUUGGGAUCCCGCCCACAACGUGUUUUAUUUCUCGGACUUUGAACUCACGCCCACUUUGGAAGAGAUGGCUGGGUAUAUCGGUAGUACUGAAGCUCUGAGAGACAAAUACUUGGUCGCUCCAAGAGCUGUCACUCCGCAUAAGUUUCUAGAUUUGCUAAAGAUAAGCAGGGGAGUCCAAUACCCAGAUUUAGCAGCUGGGAUUUCCACUCCACAGUUCAUAUACCAGCGAUACAGACACAUAGGGGAGUUCAACAAUCCAGAAAGCAAAAUUUGCAGCAAAGGGAAUCGACUUAAAUGGGAAAAACAUAGAUGCUUCGCUUUCAUGGUGGUAUUUUUGGGUCUUUUAGUAAUCCCCAAGAAGGAUGGGAGUAUCGAUGUACGGAUAGUCGGGGUCGUCAACACUUUGCUUACUCAGGCCAAAAGCAUCCUCGCACCCAUGAUAGUAUCUGAAAUAUUCCGAGCUCUCACAGCCUGCAAAGCCGGAAUAGACUUUUUUGAAGGGUGCAACUUGUUGCUACAAAUGUAGAUGAUUGAGCAUCUAUGUCAUCAUCCUCAGUACAUGAACUAUGGGUCGAUAGGAGAAAGCUGCAUAGAGGAGUUUUAUACAAGGGUUGAUGGGUUCAACAUGCCAGAAGGGGUCGCAGAAUGGAUAUCUUGCCUCCGCUCUGUCACUGCAAAUCAAAUAGAAUGGACGUUGGGUUGGCUUCCUGUUGAUGAAAUCAUAUACAUGCCAGCCACCGGUCCCCACUUCCUCUUGAUGGGUCUCAGAAGCAUCCAGCCUUAUGCCCCAUACCGGGUUUUGAGAUAGCUAGGAAGAUGUCAAAUAGUGCCUAAGGAUGAAGACCUUAGCCUUCAUGUGGUCGAGAUCCGUUCUGAUGGCCAGUUUCACGAAACAGUGGUUCGCCAGAUUUGGAGUGAGUGCCAAUAUUUGAUGGCAAAUACACGAGUACGUGAUCUGUCCAGAGGUAAGUGUCACCCAUUUACCUCGCUUGGUACAAAAGGAAAGUUGAGUUUGGAAGGCCAGCUAAAAGACCCCACCUCCAGGAGUUUGUUGAAGCGCCACAAGAACAAUGGGAGUGGUUGACAAAAGAAAAUGAAUACCGGGCCACCAUAAGCAGGUUAGAAGGGCAGAUCCGAAACCUUACGUUUGAUAGUGAUGUGCAAGCUACUGCAGAUGAGGGUGAGAAGAAAAAAUUAGCCCAAGAAAAUGAAGUCCUCCCGGCCCAGAUCCAAAGGAUGAAGGUAGCUACUGAGAAUCCGGAAAGAAUCCGAGCAGAUGAAAGACUCAUUAAUGGUCUCAAGAAGAAAAUAUGUGAGUACGGGGAUGAUUUAGAAAAAUCCGAAGGCAGUUUACAAGAGCUCGGGCACAAUUGGCAAAGAACGCCGAGGGACGGGCAGAGUUUGUUCGAAAACUAAAAAGGAAAUACGAUGGAAAAGUCACAAACUUGAAGAAAAAGCUAACCACCCUCGAGAGCGAGAUGGCCAAACAAGCCAAGAGCUUCAAAGCCGAGAGAGAACAUUGAUACAUUUUGAUGGCACAACUAAAGGGAAACCUACAACAUUUGCAAGAACAGAAUCAUACUGCCACUUAGCUCUUGGAGGCUAGAUCUCAGCAAAUUGGGUGGUUGUUGCAAGAGAAGGGCAUCAUCAGGGAAAGGGUUAGAAGAAUCACCGACUACGUUGUGAUGAAAUGCAACGAGUGUGAGGACAUGACCAGGUCCAUGUUCUUCGCCACGGUCAUGAUCUUUGUUUACCAGAUAAUGGAUGAUCUCUAUCGCCUCCAGGAUGACAUGGCGCAUAGGCCUGCAACAAGACCAAUUGGUGUUCCUAGACCAGGAUUGGAGGCAUUGAUGUACUCCUGAUUGUUUUCUCUUUUUUGAGUCUGUAUUUUCAUUCCUAAAAGUCUAUUUCGAGUCUGUUUUUAGUUUUCAAUUCUCGAGUAUGUAGGAUCGAGUCUUUGUAAUAGAGAAAAAUUAAAGGUUUUGUUUUAAUGAAAAUUUGAAAAACUAAAAUUGUUUUAUUUAUUGAACUACGUGAUAAUCUGAUUCACACGACGUCGUGAUACGUAGACAAUACUCAUCGGAUCCGGUCAUGAUUUUUUAAAUAACUCAAAUAAAAGAGGAAUGUGGAAAAGAGAAAACCAAAAGAAAAGAGAGAAAAAAAGGAAAAGAGAAUGAGAACAAGAGAAAAAAUGAGAGUGCAAAAGAGAGCAAGAGAGAAGAUCAGGGAGAUAAACAAAGCUGGGAUGAGACAUGCAAUCGUUGUAAAAUAUGUGGAAACACAUUUAACUGUAUACGUGCAUCACACCCCCAAUGUACGAUUUCCUAUGUGUUAAUUGCUUCAAACUAACCGGUUUGUUGUCUACUGUUGAGUAUAGGUUCUGUUUUUAAGGUGGUUGGUUUGUGGUAACCUGGCUUCAAGCCCGUAUUUUACAAGAUCCAAAGGCAGUGUAGAUAUGUUGUCAGAAGGUCAUCCACCAACAAUUCCCAUCUCAGAGGAUAGCCCACUAUCGAUUAUGUCACGACCUCGAUUUGCCCUCCGUGAACCAUCGUGACGGCACCUAGACUCUACGACUAGGUAAGCCUAAACUUGCGAAAGUAAAACAAUUUAAAACAGAAAUAAGGCAAUAAAAGUAUUAAAUGUGUCGCUCUGCAUACACCAUAUUUAUAGAGAUCUCAAAACCAACAUCUAAAUCCAAGACCCAGAAACCCACGAAUCACAAGCUAAGAAGUAGUACAUAGCUCUAACUACGAAAUGUAUAAAUAGAACAAAUAAUACAGAAGAGCUAAAUACUAAAACGGGAAUAGAAAGGGACUCCUUUGUCUGCGGACACGACAGAUAUACCUCGAAGUCUCUAUAGCAAUCGCCUCCCUCAGGGAUGGUAGGCCUGAGUAGCGGUACCUAGAUCUGCACAUGAAAAACAUGUGCAGAAAGGGCAUAAGUACACCACAACGGUACUCAGUAAGUGCCAAGCCUAACCUCAGUUGAGUAGUGAUGAGGAAGGUCAGGGUCCUACUGAGAUACAAUAAGAUAUAAAGUAUGACAGGGUAAGAUAAGUAAUUCAGUUGCAACCAACAAUAAAAAUUUUGAUACGAGAUAGUAAGGAAAUGCAAUAACCAAAACAGAGGCUAAAACAUUCAUUAGGAUAAUAACCGGGGAUCUCUCAGUAUCCCGAGGAUCUCUUGGUAUCCUCAUUAUACAUUAGGGAUCUCUUGAUAUCCCGAGGAUCUCUUGGUAUCCUCAUUUUUUAUACUAGGGAUCUCUUGAUAUCCUCAUUUUUAUACUAGGGAUCUCUUGGUAUCCUCAUUAUACAUUAGGGAUCUCUUGGUAUCCCGAGGAUCUCUUGGUAUCCUCACUAUACUAGGGAUCUCUUGGUAUCCCGAGGAUCUCUUGGUAUCCUCAUUUUUAUACUAGGGAUCUCUUGGUAUCCCGAUGAUCUCUUGGUAUCCUCAUUAUAUACUAGUUCAAUAUGUGUGCAGGGGGAAUCUCCCGGAAUAAAAUCCGUAGUCCCAAAGUAAACACACAACAUCAACACGAAGAAUACACAAUUAUAGUCAAGUUUCAUAUCAAGGUAAAACAAGUAUUUCUAGCCUAGCAUGUUGCACAUAAUCCACAUGAGGCAUUUCGAGCAAGUAAAUCAAUUAAGUCAAGUAGACAUGCUUCUCUAGAAUAACAGCAGGCUUAAAUUCGAAGUAGUGUAAACAAGAAAGGAAGAAAAUACAAUUAAGGCUAAUUUUAAUGAAAAUAGGAUUUUCAACAAUUAGCACAAGUACGCGCCCGUCACCUCACGUACAAGGCAUUUCAAUUACCACAAUUCCAAUCAUAAGGGGAGAGUCCCCCACACAAGGUUAGACAAGCCACUUACCUCGAACCGACUCACAAUCAAUCCGAAACCACGUUCUUGCCACGAGUAUUCGACUUCAAAUGGACCAAAUCUACUCAAUUAAAUUUCAUAAUGUAAAUGACACUUCAAUUAACUGAUUCUACAAUUAAAUUCUAAGAUAAUACGCGAAAUUAUGUAAAAUGACCAAAACGGCCCUCAGGCCCACUUCUCGGAAUCCGACAAAACUUACAAAAUUCGACAACCCAUUCCGAUACAAGUUCAACCGUACAAAAAUUAUCGAGUUCCGACAUCUGAUUGACUUUCAAAUCUUAUUUUUUUCAUUUUUGGAAGAUUUGGUAAAAAUAUGAAUUUUUUUCUUCCAUAAAUUCAUGGAUUCAUGAUGUAAAUGAGUAUGGAGUCAUGAUCUAUAAAGGAUUUAUGAUAAAGAACACUUACCUCAUUCAAAUUUGUGAAAAUCCCUCUGAACAUCGCCCAAACCGAGCUCCCCUAACUCUAUUUUUAUCAAAAAUGGCCAAAAUCCCCAUUUUAUAACGUUUUUACGAUUCGGGCGUCACAUGUGGUGCCGGGCGCUGCCUGUGGCGCUGGUUCCGGUAGCCAAAAAUAAUUUUGGCGCCAUGGAUGGCGCCCUGCGCUACCCUGGGCGCUGACGAUGGGAAAUUAUUUUUCCCCGACACGAAAAUGGGCAUAACUCACUCAUACGAUGUCCGAAUUUGACAAUUCUUUCUGCUAUGGCUCCAAAAUUUUGAUACGGAUCUAAUGCUUUAAUCAAAACUGAAUUUGGAGCUCAUUUGCUUAAUGUGAUACUACUUAUUCUUAAAGAACGACAUCGAAACAUUCUUGAAAUGCCCAAGUUAAACUCCAAUAACCAUACAAACUCCACCCGAGGCUCUCGGGACCUCGACCAAAUAUAUCAACAAGUCCUAAAAUAUCAUGCGAACUUACUCGGAGUUUCAAAUCAUGCCAAGCAACAUCAAAACUACAAUUCACUAUUCAAUUCGGACUUAUGAGUUUCAAACUUUUCCUUUUACAAAGCGCGUGCCGAAACGUAUCAAAUGAAUCCGGGAUGACUUCAAAUUUUGCACACAAGUCAUAAAUGACAGAAUAGAGUUGUUCCAAUUUUCAGAAUCAGAUUUUGAUCCCGAUAUCAAAAAGUCAACUCUCGGUUAAACUUUCCAAAAAUCUUUUAUUUCCCUACUUUCGCCAAAAUGCGCUGAAUUGUCCUACGGGCUUCCAAAUCCGAAUAUGCGCAUAAGUCCAAAUCAUCGUAUGAAGCUAUUGGAAUCGUAAAAAAUUUCAUUCCAGGGUCAUCUUCACACUGUUCUGACUACGGUCAACUUUCCAACACUAAGCUCUCAUUUAGGGACUAAGUGUCCCAAAAGUCUCCGAAACUCAAAACCGAACAUCUCGGCAAACCAAAAUAGCAGAAAUAAACUUGGGGAAAGCAAUUAAUAGGGGAUCGAGGCAUAAAUUCUAAAAACGACCGGUCGGGUCAUUACAGGUUAUCCCAACCUUAGAGUCAGUGGCAAUUAAAGAGAAUAUGGCACUGCACCUUCGCGUGCUGGAAAUGUAGGAUGCCUGGUCCAAUGGUAGAGAACCGCCAAGUGCCAUACCCAGCUUCCCCGAGCUACUUCCCAGAGCAAGUGGAAAUUCUAAUGUCCCGAUAAAUUACCCGAAUACCCCACUUGGAUACCCCACCAUCUCAGCUCACUUCACCGGAGCACCUUCUGAGGUUCGCCUCCAGGUAGUUUCGGGAGUGGCCUCCAACAUAUUUACCACACCACCAACCUCGGCCGCAUUACAGCCAACUGUGCCCAGUCUAAGCUUUGAUCUAUCAUCUUUCACUUUCCAAGUACCAUCUUUUCCACCAGAACCUACUCAUUUCACCACCAACUCUUACCCUCAACAACCCGGUACGAGUUUACCGCGGGAUAGGAGAAGGCUACAAAGAACCCCGAGCAAGAGGAAAUUACCCAAAAAAUGAGGAGCAUGGAACAGAGCCUUAAGAAUAUACAAGGCUUAAGCAGAGAAAAGAGCGUAUCCUACACUGAUCUAUGUAUGUUCCCAUAUGUCCAUUUGCCCCUGGGUUUCAAGAUCCCAAAGUUCGAAAAGUAUGACGGGCACGGAGAUGCCAUAGCCCACCUCAAGAGAUAUUAGAACCAAUUAAGAGGGGUAGGCGGAAAAGAAGAGCUCCUAAUGGCUUAUUUCGGAGAGAGUCUAGUUGGCAUUGCAUUUGAGUGGUACAUGGAUCAGGACAUAUCUCAUUGGCACAUUUGGGAUGAUCUGGCUCGAGAUUUUGUCAGGCAGUUUCAGUAUAACAUAGACAUAGCUCAUGACAGGAAUUCUCUGUCGAAUCUCAAGAAGAAGUCAUUGGAAAGUUUCCGAGAAUAUGCUGUUAAAUGGCACAAACAAGCGGCCAGUGUCAAGCCCCCGAUGGAUGAAACGGAAAUGGUUAGUGUUUUUCUACAAGCCCAAGUCUCUCCUGAAUCACCUUAACCUUCUCUAAAGCAUCUUGAACCAAAUCUGUGCCCAGUAACCUGGUCUCACCUGGCUCAAACCAACCCACCGGAGAUCUACACCGCCUGCCAUAUAAAGCCUCAUACGGUGCCAUCUGAAUGCUGGACUGAUAGCUGUUAUUGUAAGCAAACUCCGCCAAUGGAAAGAACUGAUCCCACGACCCCCCAAACUCAAUCACACAUGCAUGGAGCAUAUCCUCAAGAAUCUGAAUAGUGCGCUCGGACUGUCCGUCCGUCUGAGGGUGAAAUGCUGUGCUCAACUCCACCCGAGUACCCAACUCCUGCUAAACGGCCCUCCAAAACCGUGAUGUAAACUGAGUUCCUUUAUCUGAAAUAAUGGAAACUGGUAUACCAUGCAGAUGAACAACCUCCCGGAUAUAAAUCUCUGCCUAUUGUUCCGAAGAAUAAGUAGUACACAUAGGAAUGAAAUGAGCGGACUUGGUCAGCCGAUCCACAAUCACCCAAAUAGCAUCAAACUUCUUCAAAGUCCGUGGGAGUCCAACUACAAAGUCCAUGGUGAUCCACUCCCACUUCCACUCUAGAAUCUCUAUCUGCUGAAGCAACCCACCUGGUCUAUGAUGCUCAUACUUCACCUGCUGACAGUUGAGACACCGAGCUACGAAUCCCACUAUAUCUUUCUUCAUCUGCCUCCACCAGUAGUGCUGCCUCAAAUCCUGAUACAUCUUCGCGGCACCCGGAUGAAUGGAAUACCGCGAGCUAUGGGCCUCAUCUAGAAUCAACUCUUGAAGCCCAUCCACAUUGGGUACACAAACCCGACCUUGCAUCCUCAAUACCCCAUCAUCACCAAUAGUCACAUCCCUAGCAUCUCCGUGCUGAACCUUGUCCUGGAGGACAGACAAAUAAAGGUCAUCAUACUGCCGCUCCCUGAUACGAUCAAAUAAAGAAGACCGAGAAACUACGCAAGCUAGAACCCGACUGGGCUCCGAAAGAUCUAACCUCACAAAUUGGCUAUCUAAGGCCUGAAUAUCCAUCGCCAUAGGCCUCCUGAUGCUGGUAAAUAUGCCAAACUCCCCAAACUCUCUGCCCGACGACUCAAGGUGCCAGCCACCACAUUGGCCUUGCCCGAGUGAUACAAAAUAGUGAUGUCAUAAUCCUUCAGCAGCUCUAACCACCUCAUCUGGCGCAAAUUAAGAUCCUUCUGCUUGAACAGAUGCUGCAAACUAUGAUGAUCGGUAUAAAUCUCAUAAGGUACGCCGUACAAAUAAUGACGCCAAAUCUUUAAGGCGUGAACAAUAGCAGCUAACUCAAGAUCGUGAAUAGGGUAAUUCUUCUCAUGUAUCUUCAACUGUCUGGGUGCGUAGGCAAUCACCCUACCAUCCUACAUCAACACCGCUCCGAGGCCGACCCUCGAGGCAUCACAAUAGACUGUAUAAGACCCCGAACCUAUAGGCAGUAUCAAAAUUGAGGCUGUGGUCAAAACUGUCUUGAGCUUCUGAAAGCUCGCCUCACACUCCUUUGUCCACUGAAAUGGAGCACCCUUCUGGGUCAAUCUAGUCAUAGGGGCUGCAAUCGAUGAAAACCCCUCCACAAAACGACGGUAGUAGCCAGCCAAACCAAGGAAACUGCGGAUCUCGGUAGCUGAUGAUGGCCUGGGCCAACUUUUCACAGCCUCUAUCUUCUUCGGAUCCACCUGAAUACCCUCACUCGAUACUACGUGGCCUAAGAAUGCCACUGAAUCCAACCAAAACUCACAUUUCAAGAACUUUGCAUAUAACCUCUUCUCUCUUAGAGUCUGAAGCACAAUCCUCAAAUGCUGCUCAUGAUCUUUCCGACUCCGGGAAUAUACCAGAAUGUCAUCAAUAAAGACAAUAACAAAAGAGUCAAGAUAUGGCCGGAAUACACUGUGCAUCAGGUGCAUAAAGGCUGCUAGGGCAUUGGUCAGCCCAAAUGACAUAACAAGAAAUGCAUAAUGACCAUACCGAGUCCUGAAAGCAGUCUUCGGGAUAUUUGGCUCCCGAAUAUUCAACUGAUGAUAACCUGAGCGCAAAUCAAUCUUGGAAAACACCCGUGCACCCUGAAGCUGGUCAAAUAGAUUAUCAAUACGAGGCAAAGGAUAACGGUUCUUCACUGUAACUUUGUUCAACUGGUGAUAGUCAAUACACAAACGCAUAGAACCAUCAUUUUUCUUCACAAACAAGACAGGAGCACCCCAAGGUGAAACACUGGGUCGAAUAAAACCCUUAUCAAGAAAUUUAUAUAACCGAUCCUUCAACUCCUUCAACUCAGGAGGAGCCAUACGAUACGGAGGAAUAGAAAUAGGCUGAGUGUCUGGCAAUAGAUCAAUGCCAAAAUCAAUAUCUCUAUCAGGCGGCAUGCCUGGAAGAUCAGCUAGAAACACAAUCGGGAAAGUCCCGUACUACUGGAACUGAAUCAACUGAAGGAGUAUCAAUACUGACGUCUCUCACAUAAGCUAAAUAUGCGUCACACCCCUUCUCAACCAUACGCUGAGCUUUAAGAAAGGAAAUAACUCUACUGGGAGUGUAAUCUAAAGCACCCCUCCACUCAACACACGGUAUACCUGGCAUAGCCAGCGUCACGUUUUUGGCAUGACAAUCAAGAAUAGCAUAAUGGGGUGACAACCAGUCCAUGCCCAAGAUAAUAUCAAAAUCAACCAUGCUGAGUAAUAAUAGAUCGGAUCUGGUCUUAAAACCACUAAGAGCAACCAAACACGACUGAUAAAUGCGGUCCACAGCAAGAGAAUCUCCCACAGGAGUAGAAACAUAAAUAGGGGCACUCAAUGAAUCCCGAGAUAUACCCAAAUGGAGAAUAGUAAGAGGACACAUAAGAAUAAGUAGAGCCUGGAUCGAAUAGAACCGAUGCCUCUCUAUGACAAACUAGUAUAGUACCUAUGAUGACAGAAUCGGAGGCAACAACCUCGGUAUGGGUAGGAAGGGCAUAGUAUCUAGCCUGGCCUCCCCCUCUAGGGAGACCUCUACCUCCCUAACCUCCACCUCUAGCUGGCUGAGCAGGUAGGGUAGCAGCUGGAGCUGUAAUCAUAGCCUGAGAAUUUUGCGGGGCACGCUGUGGCUAAGAAAUCUGUGGAGGUGCACCACUCCCAUGUCUAGGGCAAUCCCUCACCACAUGACAGGUGUCACCACACUCAAAACAAGCCCUGGGAGUACGUAGUAGCUGUGACUGGCUCGGGCCAGGUCUGCUGGACUGACCUCUAAAAGCACCCCGCCAAGGAGGCGCGCUAGAAAUCAGAGGUGCAUAGUAAGACUCCUGAGAUAUGGGAGGAGCUGGAGCACUGCUGGCUACUAGAAGAGCUGAAUGAACGGGGCGACUCAUAUAACCCCUACCAUGGCGACCUGAAGCUGGGGUACGGACACUAGAAUAAUAGCCCGACUCUCGAGACCUCUUGGCCUCCCUCUCCUCUCUCUCUCUGGUAUGCAUACCCUCAAUACUUUUAGCAACGUUCACCACCUGCUGAUAAGAAAUAUCCAUCUCCAACUCGCAAGCCAUGCUAGAUCUAAUGCUGGGAAUAAGGCCCUCAAUAAACUGGUGAACCCUCUCGCGGACAGUAGCAACCAAAGCUGGUGCAUGCCUGGCCAAACUGGUGUAACGAACAACAUAAUCUGAAACCGUCAUAGCACCCUGGCGCAAAUGCUCAAACUCCGCACGCCAUGCAUCCCUAAGGCUUUGAGGAACAUACUCUCUUAGGAACAAAUCCGAAAACUGAGCCCAAGUCAGUGAAGCAGCCGCAUCUGGACUAUCUAACUUAUAGGUGCGCCACCAAUCAUAGGCGGCCCCUCGAAGCUGGAAUGUAGUGAAAGAAACCCCCCUUGAUCCUGAGAUACCCAUAGUGCGGAGAAUACGAUGGAACUUAUCCAGAAUCCCAGAGCAUCAUCUGAUGCUAAACCACUAAAAAUAGGAGGCUUAUACUUCUUGAACCUCUCAAGUCUCCGCUGCUCAUCCUCUAAAACAACUGCCCUGUCCUCGAGUCAAACUGGCACUGCAGACGGUACAAGAAUAGCCUCUGGGAUCUGAUCAACAUGCACUCGCUGCUCGGGAGUGCAGGCUACGGGAGUCUGUGCUCCUCCCCCAGCCCGGGAUGUGGCUGCAACAAGGGGAAGCAACCCUGCCUGAGCCAAAGUGGUGUACAUGCUCAUGAACUGUGCCAGAGUCUCCUGAAGUGCUGGAAUGGUAGUGGUAGUAGGCGUAUCAGGCGCCUAGACUCCGGUUGGAACUGUUGGUGGUACCUCGGUGGCAGCUCGCGCAAGUGCUCUGGUUGCACCAUGUGUGUGUCCUUGGCCUCUACCCCGGCCCCGGCCUUUGACGGCUGCAGUAGGGGGCACGGGUGCCUGAUCAUCUCGGGUAGCACGUAUCCUCACCAUCUGUGAGAGAAUAGAAGAUAGAAGUUUAGGAAUGUGAUGUAAAAAAUCUCGCACGACCGGAAAAUCAAAUGAAGUGGAAUUUUCCUAACGGUUACAUAGCCUCUCGUAGAUAAGUAUAGACAUCUUUGUAACGAUCAGCGAGACUCUAAUAAAUCGGCUUGUGAUCCAUGACUCCUAUGAACCUAGAGCUCUGAUACCAACUUUUCAUGACCCCGGUUCGCCCUCAGUGAACCAUCAUGAUGGCACCUAGUCUCUACGACUAGGUAAGCUUAAACUUGCGAAAGUAAAACAAUUUAAAACAGAAAUAAGGCAAUAAAAGUAUUAAAUGUGCCGCUCGGCAUACACCAUAUUUAUAGAGAUCUUAAAACCAACAUCUAAAUCCAAGACCCAGAAACCAACGAAUCACAAGCUAAGAAGUAGUACAUAGCUCUAACUCUGGAAUGUCUAAAUAGAACAAAUAAUACAGAAGGGAUAAAUACUAAAACGGGAACAGAAAGGGACUCCUUGGUCUGCGGACCCGAUAGAUAUACCUCGAAGUCUCUAUAGCAAUCGCCUCCCUCAGGGAUGGUAGGCCCGAGUAGCGGUACCUGGAUCUGCACAUGAAAAACAUGCGCAGAAAGGGCAUAAGUACACCACAGCAGUACUCAGUAAGUGCCAAGCCUAACCUCGGUUGAGUAGUGACGAGGAAGGUCAGGAUCCUACUGAGAUACAAUAAGAUAUAAAGUAUGACAAGGUAAGAUAAGUAAUUCAGUUGCAACCAGCAAUAAAAAUUUUGAUACGAGAUAGUAAGGAAAUGCAAUAACCAAAACAGAGGCUAAAACAAUCACUAGGAUAAUAAUCGGGGAUCUCUUGGUAUCCUCAUUAUACAUUAGGGAUCUCUUGUUAUCCCGAGGAUCUCUUGGUAUCCUCAUUUUUUUAUACUAGGGAUCUCUUGGUAUCCCGAGGAUCUCUUGGUAUCCUUAUUAUACUAGAGAUCUCUUGGUAUCCCGAUGAUCUCUUGGUAUCCUCAUUAUAUACUUGUUCAAUAUGUGUGCAGGGGGAAUCUCCCGGAAUAAAAUCCGUAGUCGCAAAGUAAACACACAGCAUCAACACGAAGAAUACACAAUUACAG
rnacentral:lncRNA from 1 species